GCAGGCGCGCAAAUUACCCAAUCCCGAUACGGGGAGGUAGUGACAAUAAAUACUGAUACGGGGCUCUUUCGGGUCUCGUAAUUGGAAUGAGUACAAUCUAAAUCCCUUAACGAGGAACAAUUGGAGGGCAAGUCUGGUGCCAGCAGCCGCGGUAAUUCCAGCUCCAAUAGCGUAUAUUAAAGUUGUUGCCGUUAAAAAGCUCGUAGUUGAACCUUGGACCUGGCUGAUCUGUCCUCCUAAUCGAGCGCACGGAUUCGGUCGGGUCUUUCCUUCUGGGGAGCCCCAUGCCCUUCACUGGGUGUGGCGGGGAACCAGGACUUUUACCUUGAAAAAAUUAGAGUGUUCAAAGCAGGCCUUUGCUCGAAUACAUUAGCAUGGAAUAAUAGAAUAGGACAUCGGUUCUAUUUUGUUGGUUUCUAGGACCGCUGUAAUGAUUAAUAGGGACAGUCGGGGGCGUCAGUAUUCAAUUGUCAGAGGUGAAAUUCUUGGAUUUAUUGAAGACUAACUACUGCGAAAGCAUUCGCCAAGGAUGUUUUCAUUAAUCAGUGAACGAAAGUUAGGGGAUCGAAGACGAUCAGAUACCGUCGUAGUCUUAACCAUAAACUAUGCCGACUAGGGAUCGGACGGUGGUUUUUUUAUGCCCCGUUCGGCACCUUGUGAGAAAUCAAAGUUU
rnacentral:rRNA from 1 species